CACGUAGGGGGCGAGCGUUGUCCGGAUUUAUUGGGCGUAAAGAGCUCGUAGGCGGCUCGGUAAGUCGGGUGUGAAACCUCCAGGCUCAACCUGGAGACGCCACCUGAUACUGCUGUGGCUAGAGUCCGGUAGGGGAGUGUGGAACUCCUGGUGUAGCGGUGAAAUGCGCAGAUAUCAGGAAGAACACCAGCGGCGAAGGCGGCACUCUGGGCCGGAACUGACGCUGAGACGCGAAAGCGUGGGGAGCAAACAGG
rnacentral:rRNA from 1 species